rnacentral:lncRNA from 1 species
UGUAGACUGGAAGUCCAUAUUUUAUUUCUCUAGUGACAUAUUUACAGUUCAAUAUAAAUUAAAGGCCUGCUUGUAUGCCAAAUCCAGGUCCCUUGGGUGGUUCAGUCAAAGGGGUAAGACCUCCAGCUGGCUCACAAGAGAAGCGUCCACUCCUUGGCCCAGGUUUUGGGAUUUUGCCAGCCUUGAGCUCAUCAAUAAUUUCUUCAAUAUCCUUAGCUGUCAAAUCUUCAUAGUAAUUGUCAUUUAUUUGAACCAUUGGUGCGUUCACACAGGCCCCUAAACAUUCCACUUCUACAAGAGUGAAAAGUUUGUCAGGUGUAGUCUCCCCAAGCUUUAUUCCAAGCUUUUUCUGAAUGGCCUCCAGUAUGCUGUCAGAGUUUGGAAGCAUGCAGGGUGUAGUAGUGCAGACCUGAAUGUGAUACUUUUCAACUGGCUUUCGAUUAUACAUUGUAUAAAAAGUUGCUACUUCAUAUACUCUUAUUGGAGGUACUUGUAAAACUUCUGCAACCUUGUUCAUAGCAGAGAUGGGCAACCACCCAUUCUGCCUUUGGGCUAAAUCCAGGACUGGAAGAACAGCUGCUGCUUUAUGGCCUUCUGGAUAGUUUUUUACAAUUGCCUCUAUCCUCUUAAAUAAAGCUCCUCCAGCUCCAUUUUGCAUAGCUGUCUUAUGCAAUUC